UGGGGAAUAUUGGACAAUGGGCGAAACCCUGAUCCAGCCAUGCCGCGUGUGUGAAGAAGGUCUUCGGAUUGUAAAGCACUUUAUGUUGGGAGGAAGGGUAUUAAGCUAAUACCUUGCUGUCUUGACGUUACUGACAGAAUAAGCACCGGCUAACUCUGUUCCAGCAGCCGCGGUAAUACAGAGGGUGCAAGCGUUAAUCGGAAUUACUGGGCGUAAAGCGCGCGUAGGUGGUUCGGUAAGUUGAAUGUGAAAGCCCCGGGCUCAACCUGGGAACUGCAUCCGAAACUGGCGGGCUAGAGUAGGGCAGAGGGUAGUGGAAUUUCCUGUGUAGCGGUGAAAUGCGUAGAUAUAGGAAGGAACACCAAUGGCGAAGGCGACCACCUGGGCUAAUACUGACACUGAGGUGCGAAAGCGUGGGGAGCAAACAGG
rnacentral:rRNA from 1 species